rnacentral:rRNA from 1 species
CACGUUAUAUCAUGAUAUAAAGUAUCGUGAGUCUUUGUAUGAAACAAGGCAGACGACUCAGUAGCGCGUACCCUUAAAAACCUGUGGGCGGGAAUAACCUCGGGAAACUGACCUUUAUACUCGACAGACCAAUAUGCCUGAAAUGUGUUGUGUUCCAUAUGAUUCUUCUCCUUAGGAUGAGACUGCCCCCUAUCAGUUUGUUGAUGAGGUAAUGGCCCACCAAGACUAUUACAGGUACGGGCUCUGAGAGGAGUGAUCCGGAGAUGGAUACUGAUACACGGACCCAUGCCCUAUGGGGCGCAGCAGGGGAGAUAACUUUGUAAUGUGCGAAAGCAGGACAAGGUUAAUCCGAGUGGUUUCUGAUAAAGGAACCUUUUUUCGGUCUUAAAACACCGAUGGAAAAGGGGGGGUUUAUUUCUGGUGUCAGCCGCCGCGGUAAUACCAGCUUUUCAGGUGGUCAGGAUGAUUAUUGGGCCUAAAGAAUGCGUAGCCUGCUUUGUUAGUUUUCGGUUAAAUCUGUACGCUCAACGUUUCGGCUGCCGGAGAUACUGCUCGGUUAGGGAGUGGGAGAGGUAGACGGUACUCAGUAUGAAGGGGUAAAAUCCUUUUAUCUAUUGAUGACCCCCUGUGGGGAAAGAGGGUCUAUAAAACAUGUCCAACGGAGAGGGAUGAAAGGUGGGGGAACAAAACGGAAUUAGUAUCCCGGGUAUUCCACUUGUAAACAAUCCCAAUUUGGUGAUUCCUUGGAGUAAAACCCGUGCAGUGCCGAAGGAAACCGUUUUGUUUUCCAGCUGGGAAGACCUUCCCAUUUAUAAACUCAAAUGAAUUGCGGAU